GUCCACGCCCUAAACGAUGACGACUAGUUGUUGGGGAUUUAACAUCCUUAGUAACGUAGCUAACGCGUGAAGUCGUCCGCCUGGGGAGUACGGUCGCAAGAUUAAAACUCAAAGGAAUUGACGGGGGCCCGCACAAGCGGUGGAUGAUGUUGUUUAAUUCGAUGCAACGCGAAAAACCUUACCUACCCUUGACAUGCCAGGAACUUCCCAGAGAUGGGAAGGUGCCCGAAAGGGAACCUGGACACAGGUGCUGCAUGGCUGUCGU
rnacentral:rRNA from 1 species